UGGAUGGUUCUGACGUAUUUCUCGCGUCGCGUAUCGUUUGUUCGGACCUCUGUUUUCUAAAUUUACAUUAUAUUCAAUUAGCAAACCACCAAUAUUUGCGUGUUUUUGUCCAUAAUUACCGGUUAAGUGUAUAUUGCAACUCACAAGGUGUCGAGUUGCUAAGUGAAUCGGAUAUUUGCAGUGCCUUGCAAUCCGGUGAGCCUCUGCAUUGUACAAGUAUCUACUCACAUUUGAUUUGCGGUGUUCGAUACACCGUACUUGCCCUACCCUUGCAAUCCGAUGAGCGCUGCAUUGAUAAGUUUAUAAUUAAGUUAUAUUAUUCAGUUAAAUGGUUUAAGGCCUGCGUGUUGUACAUUUCACUUAUUGGUAAUAUAGAAAACGGAUCAUAUUGCGGGAAACCUUUGUGAAAUGUUCAAAUUUUUCAUCGGAUUCUGAUAGCGCAAGAGAGGUUUUGUUGAUUUUUUUUAUUGAUUUAGUUGAGUCUCAUUCGGUGUACUGUAGCAGGGUACUAGUACUCGUUGCGCUAGGAAUUGUAGUUUUUUGAUAUAACACGCGAACGCGGUGUCACAAUAAGUUUGGAAUAAUUUGUUCAGAUGCAGAAUUUAAUUCUGUAUCUCUCUGUUUUGAAAUUUAUAGCAAGAAAAUUCCGUAACUCGAGUUAUAUUGAAAGUUGUGUGUAUACGCACUAGUACUCGUUGCGCUAGGAAUUGUAGUUUUAUUGAUAUAACACGCGAACGCGGUGUGAUAAUAAGUUCGGAAUAAUUUUCCCACAUGCAGAAUUUAAUUCUGUAUCUCCCAGUAUUGAAAUUUAUUGCAAGAAAAUUCCGUAACGCGAGUUAAAUUGAAAGUUGUGUGUAUACGCAAUAGUACUCGUUGCGCUAGGAAUUGUAGUUUUAUUGAUAUAACACGCAAACGCGGUGUCUCAAUACGUUCGGCAUAAUUUUCCCACAUGCACAAUUUAAUUCUGUAUCUCUCUGUAUUGAAAUUUAUUGCAAGAAAAUUCCGUAACGCGAGUUGUAAUGAUAGUUGUGUGUCUACGCGCUUGUAUUCGAACUCGUUGCGCUAGGAAUUGUAGUUUUUUUAUUAGAACUCGCAAACGCGGUCUUAAACUUAGUUCGGAAUAAUUUUCCCAAGUGCGGAAUUUAAUUCUUUAUUUCCCUGUAUCGAAAUUUAUUGCGAGAAAGUUCCGUAACGCGAGUUAUAAUGAAAGUUGUUUGUAUACGCACUAGUACUCGUAUCGCUUAUGAUUGUAGUUUUUUUUAAUUUAUAACACGCGAACUCGGUGUCACAAAAAUUCGGAAUAAUUUUCCCAGAUGCAGAAUUUAAUUCCGUAUCUCCCUGUAUUGAAAUUUAUUGCGAAAAAAAUCCGAUACGCAAGUUAUAUUGAAAGUUGUAUGUUUGGCCGUAGAACUCGGUAUUUAGUGGAGUUUCAUUUGGAGUACUGUAGCAGUGUGGCGAUAGAAGUGAUUCGUGUUUAGGGCACCGUACGAAUGUGGCGGUAGAAGUAACUCGUGUUUAGGGCACCGUACGAAGGUAGCGGUAGAAGUGAGUCGUGUUCAUAAAAUAUAAAUUAUUUUUUGGACGUUUUAGCGCAGGAAAUUUAAUUAUUUUAUACUUUUAUCUGAUAGAGAAUUUUCCAAAAUUUCAUAAUAUUUUAUCCGUUGGUCGCUAACGUUUUUAGUUUAAAUGAUAUUCCUUACCAAAAAUACUCAAAAAACAUGACGCAGCACUCCCCUUUGCCCAUUUAAGUGAAUACUUAAAUUAGGCCCGAUAUUGUGAACACCAAUUACUUAAUUAUCUAAGAUACACAGUAAACUUUUACGAAGACAAUAAAUUAUUUAUUUGUAAUGGUAAAUUAAAUUGCGGUUUUUUGUCAAUCUUAUUACAUCCCAGAGUCAAUAUAUUCUUUUCUUAAGCCGAUAAAUAUUGAAAGUAACAGUAGAUUCCGUGUAUAUGUGCUAUUUCAAUAUUGUAAAUUUUAGUUUAGUAUUCUCAACUACGUGUUUAUCAGUACGUUUGUGUAUAAACAACUUUUUUUGUUCGAGUGACGCGUGUUAUCGCUGCGUACCCGCCUUGUACCUGGCUACGCGCGGCGUACACGGCAGUCGUUUCACCGCGUGGUCCGCAAACGUUCCUCUCUGGUCGCCAUGCGUUUUAAGAUUUUAAUUGGAUUAAUCGUCGUGUAUUCUUUCGGCCAUUGUCAAAAUAUUUGAAAUGAGCAUGUGUGCCUGUUUUGUUUAAUGAUUUAUGGCGGUUAGAGUCUUCUUAGGUGAAAUAAGUGUCCGUUAAUCCCUGCGCGAGUUUUCAGUUGAUAGAAUAUAUUUCAGGAUAGAAAAUCUCCUCAUCAAUGCACAGGUAGGUGGAUAAUUUAAAUUUAUCGCGGAAAGUUAAGGGGGUUUAACUUAAAUUAAUUAUUCCAUCUGAGGGAUAUUAAUUUUGUAGAUUACAAACACGUGGUGGAAUGUUUAUCCAAAUUCUUCUUAGUCGCGUUUCCAAAAAUAACAUGCUUGAUUUAAUUAUUACAAGCACGGUUUUAAAAAUUAUCUGAGGAUUAUUAAAAUGACAAUAUUCGUGUUGUCGACCGCGCUCACUUUGCCGUCGGCAGUCGGUUCGGUCAUGUUUUCGAUGAUCAUGAAACAUUUUAAUCGAAUUGCAUCAUUAAAUGAAUAAUUUAUUGUUGAAAUAAAAUCUGAACGGUGAAUAGUUUUUAGUUUUCGCAGCCUUAGUAAAUCUUAAUAUUUACAAAGAAAUAGUUAUUUUUAUCGUCUUUAACCACUGUGUUGUUACGCGCCGUCGCUUGCCGGGUAUUGAUUUAGAUGUUUUCCGCCGGAUAUUCUAUCAAUUUAUGAUGAUGCUUUACUCGUCGCUUACCUGAUACAGUUGAUGCUACCAUCAAUUAAUAAAUAUAUAUUCAUAAUAUAUUAAAAUGUAAGUGUUUUAUUUUUGUAGCACCUUUUUGUUUUCCGAUGAUUUUCGGGUAAAAUCUCUGAUUUUAUAUUAAAAUAUUGUUGUUAAUUUGCAAAUUUCCCUCUUCGUAUUGUGAAUAUUGACUCCCUUUGUAGUUUCUAAAAUUUUCUUUUUGUAACACCAUGUAUAUUAGUUCUCCUAACACUACGUAGAAAAUCGCCUGUAUUUGUUGUUUUUAGGGUUUUCCUGAUUUUCCUUUGAAUUUUCUUUUUGUGACACCCUGUAUGUUAGUUUCCCGGAGCCUCGGGUGAAAAAUGAAUGAUAUUUGAAGUGUUGAGAGUUUUUUGUUACACUUAAAAUUUUUCUUUUGUAACACCCUGUAUAUUCAUUUCCAUUUUCAAUCGCCUAGAAAAUUGACUAUUUACUAAUUUCAUUAUCCCAGUAGAACAUUAUGAAGUAAUACUUGCUGGCAUGUGUGCGGCUAAGAAGGUCGUAAGUCCUGUUUCAAUAUGGCGACAUGUAUUUUGUUGACUUAUAAAAUCUAAACUUGUAUUCUAUUGUUAAUAAAGAAAUAGUAAGAUA